GGAAAACUUUGCAGCAUAUAACGACCCUCAAAAAUAUAAUCUCCACUUUAAAUUUUUCUACCUGCGCUGAAACUCUAAUUUCAACCCAAACGCCACGAUUCGUAUUCUAAAGGUACCGUUAACUUAGUCCGAUACGUGUACAUGCGGGUAGCCUCCUCUUAAAAUAACGAACAUUUCGCUGUCUCCGCGUCGUAUACGCACGACAUCAUAUACAAUUUGCGUUCAACAUAAUCAAUGUCGGGC